rnacentral:rRNA from 1 species
UACAGAGGUCUCAAGCGUUGUUCGGAUUCAUUGGGCGUAAAGGGUGCGUAGGUGGCGCGGUAAGUCGGGUGUGAAAUCUCGGAGCUUAACUCCGAAAUUACAUUCGAUACUGCCGUGCUCGAGGACUGGAGAGGAGACUGGAAUUCAUGGUGUAGCAGUGAAAUGCGUAGAGAUCAUGAGGAAGACCAGUGGCGAAGGCGGGUCUCUGGACAGUUCCUGACACUGAGGCACGAAGGCCAGGGGAGCAAACGGG